GAUGAACGCUGGCGGCGUGCCUAAUACAUGCAAGUCGAGCGAACAGACGAGGAGCUUGCUCCUCUGACGUUAGCGGCGGACGGGUGAGUAACACGUGGAUAACCUACCUAUAAGACUGGGAUAACUUCGGGAAACCGGAGCUAAUACCGGAUAAUAUAUUGAACCGCAUGGUUCAAUAGUGAAAGACGGCUUUGCUGUCACUUAUAGAUGGAUCCGCGCGGCAUUAGCUAGUUGGUAAGGUAACGGCUUACCAAGGCGACGAUGCGUAGCCGACCUGAGAGAGUGAUCGGCCACACUGGAACGGAGACACGGUCCAGACUCCUACGGGAGGCAGCAGUAGGGAAUCUUCCGCAAUGGGCGAAAGCCUGACGGAGCAACGCCGCGUGAGUGAUGAAGGUCUUCGGAUCGUAAAACUCUGUUAUUAGGGAAGAACAAAUGUGUAAGUAACUAUGCACGUCUUGACGGUACCUAAUCAGAAAGCCACGGCUAACUACGUG
rnacentral:rRNA from 1 species